GACGAACGCUGGCGGCGUGCCUAAUACAUGCAAGUCGAGCGCUGAGGGGAGGUACUUGUACCAACGGGAUUAGCAGCGGACGGGUGAGUAACACGUGGAUAAUCUACCUUUAAGCGGGGGACAACAUUGGGAAACGGAUGCUAAUACCGCAUAAAAACUUUAAACACAAGGUUUAAGAGUGAAAGAUGCAAUUGCAGCACUCAAAGAUGGUCCCGGGUCGUAUUAGCUAGUUUGGGAAGUAAAGGCUCACCAAGGCGAUGAUACAUAACCGGCCUGAGAGGGUGAUCGGCCCAAUUGGGACUUAGACAAGGCCCAAAAUCCUAACGGAGGCCGCAGUAGGGAAUCCUCGGCAAUGGACGGAAGUCUUACCGGGCCAAGCCGCGGGAGUGAAGAAGGUUCUCCGAUCCUAAAACCCUGGUUAUAGGGGAGAACGAUGGGGGGAGGUGACUGCGCACCACGUGACGGUACCUAAUCAGAAAGGCACGGCUAACUACGUG
rnacentral:rRNA from 1 species